rnacentral:rRNA from 1 species
CCUACGGGGGGCAGCAGUGGGGAAUAUUGCACAAUGGGGGGAAACCCUGAUGCAGCAACGCCGCGUGAGCGAUGAAGGCCUUCGGGUCGUAAAGCUCUGUCCUAAGGGAAGAAUACUGACGGUACCUUAGGAGGAAGCACCGGUUAACCACGUGUCAGGAGCCGCGGUAAUACGUAGGGGGCUAGCGUUAUCCGGAAUUACAGGGCGUAAAGGGUGCGUAGGCGGCCCUGCAAGUCAGAGGUGAAAGGCUACGGAGCAACCGUAGUAAGCCUUUGAAACUGUAGGGCUGGCGGGCUGGAGAGGAGAGUGGAAUUCACAGUGUAGCGGUGAAAUGCGUAGAUAUUGGGAGGAACAACAGUUGCGAAGGCGGCUCUCUGGACUGUAACGGACGCUGAGGCACGAAAGCGUGGGGAGCGAACAGGAUUAGAUACCCCUGUAGUC